UAACUCAAACAUAUUGAUUAAAAAUAAACUUCUCACUACAUCCAGAGUACUUUUCAAUUAUCUGUUAAGGACUCGCUUAUUUUGAUAAAUUUCGGGCUCGUUAUGAAAGUAACGCGAAACGGCAAACCUUGAGCGCAGCCCUGACUGAUGAAGAAUACCAGGAAGCUGGCGCUCUUGCAUUCGACAUCAGCAAUUUGAAAUACAAGGAGCCUCCCCCAAAACAGGAAGAAGAAGACGACCGGAUAAAUCAGGCAGAGGAAGCAAUAUUGAGACAGAUGAACAAGGAACUAAAAUUUGCUGGGGUCAAAUCAACAAAUGCCCCUCCAAAGAAGCCUAAAAGAAGAAAGCUUAAUAAAGAAAACAAAUGAAUGGUGUACGCCGAUCUGGAGCUUAGUGGAGAGGACGCUUGUUGGAGUUUAUUACUACCGAUUGCAGUGUCAAAAUGUACCCUUUGGAUUGCCGGAGUAGACCAAUUUAUAGCGUAGCCAGAAACCCCAUAGGUAUAGAGAAAUGGUAUAUAACUUUGAGACUGAGUUUUUUGGAUCCCUGUGGUUUUGCAUCGCCUGCCUGCCCGCGAAGCUGAUAACCACGCUUUGCUGACACGGUCGCCUUCACAGAGCAGUGCUGCGCUGAGAUUGGUUUGUCGGCAUUUUGUCAUGUUUUAUCGGUAGAGCUUGUCACCUGUAACACCUGCGCACCGGUUCUGUUAUCGAUUUAACAUUUAGAUGUGUACUCCCCAGAGCAAAGUAGCAACACUCAUAAAAUAAAGAAUGACUGACAGUGAUAA